ensembl:lncRNA
GUGUGGUGCCCUGCCUGUCAGAUAGGGAGAGGAGCUGGAGGAGGAGAUGUCUGCAGUCAGAGCCAUCGCUUUGUGAUAUUGCAUUCCCCAGACAAGAGCACCUGUGAGGAGAGAGCUGCAUAGGCUCUGGGAGGUGGGAACGUUUCACAAAAGCAUCACAAACAUCUGCUGAGAGAAGGCUGCCUGCCGUCUCCCUGCCUGCUUGCUGGGAAGCGUUUCCACCUCAGCGAUGCAACUUUAGGGCUGCUGGGAGGCGUUAGGGCUGGGCAGGAAUAAGUCCUUGAUGCAGGUGUCUCCCUGUGAGCAGUCCUCAAGAUUUCAGCCUUGGGCUGCCCUGUGCCCUGCUGGGGAGGCUCCUUGGGCCACCCAGCCUCACUGCUCUGAUGCAUUUUUGGAAGUUGUUCAUGUUUUGCUCAAAACCUUGGGGACAGCUCGGUGGUCAUGGAUGGGUUUUCUAACCCACGUUUUGUGGGGAGAGAGGUACCCUUGAAGAUGAGCUGAUGCUUAUGGUCAAACCACCCAGGGCAGGCAACAAGGAUAAAACAGACAUGAUUUUGAACCUAUUUCCCUGCUCUUUUGGCUGCUUGGUGUUGACAGCACUGAAACGGAGCAUGGAUUUCCCACCAGGACCUGCAAUUCCAGUGAUUUUCCCAAAUCCCUCAGUCUCCAGAAGCCAUUAAACAAAAUCGCUGCUUUCCCUGCGACCUCCCGUUGCAGUUCACGAUCUGAUGCUCUGCACUGCUGUAAAUCCCAGCCCCUGGGACACCUCCCAGACCCGGGUGUCUGCUGAGCACCUCGCAAACCACCCGUGGGCUCGGCUGCAUCUGGUCCCGCGGUGCUUCAGCCUCGCAGGUUCCCUGGCAGGAGGUGACUGGCACAGGGAAAUUGUUCCUCUGGUAGUCUGUCUUUCCUUCUCUUUUCAUAUAAAGAAUGCAUGGGGAGGGUGUGAUGCAGGUGUUUCACCCCACAACGUGGGUCUGGAAGAGCUGGCAGAAACCGUGGAUGUAUCCAGCCCUUCACACGAUGAGGAGAAUUCAGUCCUGUUGGAAAACGUGACGCCUGCCCCAGAGGAUCUCGCACCGCGACGGGCCCAGUACAGGAACAACCGGCACUUCAGCUCUGCUGGAACGAAGCGGCAUGGAGAUGGCGGGGGUGUAAAUCAGCCCCUUCCUCGCCUCGCUGCAGCCGUCCGCCCUCGGUUUUGCAGUGUGCUGUGCCCUGGGCUCGCCCCUCGCUGGGGUUUGGUCCCAGCAGCCCACCAGGCUGCAGCCCUCGCUGUGCUGGCACCCGUUGUGGUGCUGUUGGAAAUGGCAGCGCAUUGCUGCUCACCGGGCACCCGUCAGGCAAAAGCACCAAGGAUAAAAAGGCAGAGACACGGGAAAAUGGGACCAGCAUGUAAGAGAGAUGAGUGUGCAGCUGUAUUGCCCGCGAAGCCCUGCACCUGCGGAGGGCUGGAGCUGCCCUGCUUGCUGCUGCCAGCCUGGCCCCGCGCUGUGUGUUCGCCUUCUGGAUGUCCCUGCGUGGCCGUGCCAUGCGGGAAGGGCACAGGAGCAGGGUGGGACGGUGGCUGCCGUCCCCUCCCUGCAAGCGUUGAGCAUGGUAAGGCUCUGCCAUGA